AUUGAACGCUGGCGGCAGGCCUAACACAUGCAAGUCGAGCGAGCGGCGGACGGGUGAGUAAUGUCUGGGAAACUGCCUGAUGGAGGGGGAUAACUACUGGAAACGGUAGCUAAUACCGCAUACCAUCAGAUGUGCCCAGAUGGGUUUAGCUAGUCGGUGGGGUGAUGGCUCACCUAGGCGACGAUCCCUAGCUGGUCUGAGGGGAUGACCAGCCACACUGGAACUGAGACACGGUCCAGACUCCUACGGGAGGCAGCAGUGGGGAAUAUUGCACGAUGGGCGCAGGCCAAAUGCAGCCAUGCCGCGUGUGUGAAGAAGGCCUUCGGGUUGUAAAGCACUUUCAGCGGGGAGGCGUUACCCGCAGAAGAAGCACCGGCUAACUCCGUGCCAGCAGCCGCGGUAAGUC
rnacentral:rRNA from 1 species